ACUUACUACUCACCCUUACUAAAGCCUCAGACCAAGUGGUAGUCAAAGACUUAAGUGUCAAAAUAGCUUCAAUCAGCUCUGGCAGUGUGUCAUUUCUGUUAGGGAGCUGAAGCUGUAACUCGGGUAACUCACUGUCACGCUCCAGGUUUAGGCCUAAGCUCUAGUUUACAGGCAGUUGGACAGAUGCAAAGAGUCAUGGUUUGGAAGAACUCAUCAGGAUCCAAGUGUACAUAGGCAAUUCAGGCUGUUUGAUGGCAUGUAAAACAGAUGACUUGCUUCAUUCCACUUACCUUUGGCUUUACACUUGCAGAGGCGGGAGGACAGUGGAAUACCUUCUCGGGCUAAUUUCAGUUCAUUUAACCCCCCUGUGUAUGUGGCAGUUGAUCAGCUAUGUUCAUAUUAAUAUGACUAAGCAGCAGUCUCCGUUCAGUUCCUCACCACAUUACUGAAGAGGGCAGCAGAGCCUUCCCUGAGGUGGUGCAGUCUAUUUUAGUGGCAUUAUUUAUAAUAGAGAUCUCAUUUGCAGCUUUGUUAUAAUCGUCAUUAUCUGCUCAAUGCCAGCUUCCUCUUUUCCUUGGUGUAGGAUUAGAGGACCUGUGCUCUGUUACAAUAACAUUUUGCUGUUUGAAGUGUAAUUAUUUCUACUCUCAUCUGGUUGUAGGUGGUGGAAGGAGAGACACCGUGAUGGGCUCAUGGAUUGCAAUGUGAACUCGUGACAGCAGGUACUUGUAUCAGGUCCCGGUGGUCUAAGGUACCUGGGUAAGGCUUGGGUGCUGUGUUUCCUCUGGUGUCAGUGUAUUAAUUUCGGUGUUCAUAGAAAUGUUUGUCUUUAUUUAUAGCCUCUGCAAGAGCUGUGCUGCAGCAGAGAAGGUAAGAGCUUGGGUGUUUUACCUCUGGGAAGGUGGGGGUAUGCGAACCAAGCCCUCAGUAGUUCAUCUGCUCUGGUUCUUUCUCAUGUAAUCCCUCAAGUUUUAUGGACAGAUGUUGAAUUGAUCUAAAGUGCCUGCUGAAGCCAUAACAAAAUGUCAAGAAACGGGGCCUUUCCAACCCUGACCAUUCCUGGGGGCUAUGGUUUUAGCAUCGGAGAGGCAAAGAGACCAAUUUGAGACUUAGAUUUUUAACCCUUCCUGAAGUGUUGUUUCUUUCUGUCCUUUGAGUUGCAGACCCAGCUGAAAGUCACCCGUCUGUUCAGGGAGCUGGUACCUCAUUGUCUUCAUUGAGAAUCAGUGUCUGUGUAGUGCUUGUUGCUAGAAACCAUUGAGUUGCUUGUGCUCAUCUGUUUGCUUUUAGGUCACAUCUCUUCUGAAAUUACUCUCUUUAUUCUCUGGUUUUGGUUAUGAAGGCCUUGCCUGUGGAUCUUGUUUCAACAGGUAAGUCUGGAUUGCUUCCUUAGGUAACCAAGCAGAUAGUCUCAAUUAUGCUUUGCUAGGUAGAACUGCGUGUAGGCAGCAGAGUUUUAUUGUUCAUGAAGAAAAAGUAGUGUAAAACCUGAAAUCUAGCUUACCUUGAAUUAAAGCAAAUAAAAUCUUAGGAUAUACAGUAUCUUAAUGGCACAGCUUGGAAGAAUGAUGUAGGAAUUCCUGAACAUGAGUCUUGUUUUAAUGGCCAUUACAUCUGUGCUUUUGCAGCUCAACACAGCAGGGAUGAGCUGUCCUCGAGAAGAACCCCUGCAUCUGCCUCUCAUGGCAAGUGGUCCAGGCAGUGACAUACCCAUGUUAGCAGUUCCAGGUGGGUGUGUUACGUGUAUUUGAAGUCUUCUCUCUUGUUCUCUGCAGUGUACUAGAACCUACACGUGCUUUGUAUAACUUGUUUCCUAUCCACUCCUCUUGUAAUGUCCAGUUUUCCUAAUAAACAUCUUUUGAAGCCA